rnacentral:rRNA from 1 species
AACGCAGCGAAAUGCGGAUAAGUAAUGUGAAUUGCAGAAUUCAGUGAAUCAUCGAAUCUUUGAACGCACCUUGCGCUCCUUGGCAUUCCGAGGAGCAUGCCUGUUUGAGU